AACCCAUGACAAGGGAACUUUUUCAAUAAAUCCUUGUAUCUCUCUCAUGCAUCAUAUAAGGUUUCUAAAUCGAUCUGGGUAAAGGAAGAGAUAUCAUUCCUCAACUU
rfam:Gossypium hirsutum cultivar TM-1 chromosome 2, whole genome shotgun sequence